UAUAUAUAUUCAUAUAUAUACUGUAUUCAUCUACCAUUUAAAGAUCAUGUCAUAGUUUCUGAAUAUGUGGAGCUAGGAUUCUAAAUGAAAGAAUAAAGGGAACCAUGGACUUGGAUGGUUUUAAAGUAUGCUUCUUUGCAAUUUUGAGAGGAAAGUUAGAAAAGAACUGCAAAAAUGAUGUAUGAAUGUAAUCACUCUGUUUCGUAGCCUUUGUUUUCUGUUCCUUUUUUCUUGACCUCGAGCCAGUUUUUAUUCUGUUAUAUACAACUCUUUCUAGUAGAACGGAUUUACGUUCCUUGCAGCCUGGACUUGGCCCCUGAAGAGAUAUUAGAGGAACAGUUUAAUGGUUAACGAGUUAUGUUGGAAGGUGAGGUUGCUGAGGCAGAACAGGACACAGUUGUUCAGACUAGUUGCUUGGGGAGCAAAGUUGUCUGGAUGGUGUAAGUUUAACUUAAUGGCUUUGGCAGUGGCUGAAGGCAGAGGUUAAAGCAUGUCUUAGAGUGGGACAGAGUGAAAGGGCUGCUGCUCUGGAGUUCAAUUGUAGUUCAGUUGCUCACAGUUUCCAUUUUAUCUUCAACUAACUUAGGAUCCUCUUGUAGUUUUGGGGCUCAUAGAACUCUAAAAAAGCUUCUGGUAUCAAAGCAAACUGUGGUCUGCUCACCCAGCACAGGAAGACUAGAUGUCCACACUGAAGUCUGCAGCAGGAGAAAGGAAAGUGUUUAUUUGCAGCGUGCCAAGCAAGGAGGAUCAGGCAUUUCAUGCUUAAGACUCCAACUCCCAGAGGGCUUACAGCUUCAGGCAGGUCCUUCAGGAAUGUUCCAGAAGAAAGCAUUGUUACCACAGGAGAUGACAGCUCCAUGUAUGUUAUUGCCCCUGAAGACUUUCCAGUGGGACAAAAUGUGGAGGAAGAAGACACUGAUAUGGUUCUGCAUUCGCGGAGGAGGUGAAAGCAAGUAG
ensembl:lncRNA